AUUGAACGCUGGCGGCAUGCCUUACACAUGCAAGUCGAAUGGUAACGCGGGGCAACCUGGCGACGAGUGGCGAACGGGUGAGUAAUGUAUCGGAACGUGCCCAGUUGUGGGGGAUAACUGCUCGAAAGAGCAGCUAAUACCGCAUACGACCUGAGGGUGAAAGCGGGGGAUCGCAAGACCUCGCGCAAUUGGAGCGGCCGAUAUCAGAUUAGGUAGUUGGUGGGGUAAAGGCCCACCAAGCCAACGAUCUGUAGCUGGUCUGAGAGGACGACCAGCCACACUGGGACUGAGACACUGCCCAGACUCCUACGGGAGGCUGCAGUCGAGAAUCUUUCGCAAUGGACGAAAGUCUGACGAUGCGACGCCGCGUGAGGGAUGAAGGUCUUCGGAUUGUAAACCUCUGUCACACGGGAAGAACGUCCUAUGGGUGAAUAACCCUGUGGGCUGACUGUACUGUGAGAGGGAGCCCCGGCUAACUCCGUGCCAGCCGCCGCAGUAA
rnacentral:rRNA from 1 species